rnacentral:lncRNA from 1 species
CCAGUCACACUUGGCAACACAAAUACAAACGCCGCCUCAAAGACGCGACGUGCAGCAAGAGCCAGCUUGCCAAGUGCUGUUUAUAAACUUUUCCUGUGCACAACGCUUCGAUUCUUAAUGUUACACCUGACACCUACCACGCGCAAGACCCCCCUUGCUUUGUGCUUGCUUUCACGGCCUGAAGCAGCUGCGCAGCAUCUUCCGUUCCUCAGCCUAUGUUCCGUAUCCUUAGCUGC